GCUUGUUAUAAGCGUAUAGACUCAUCAGACUGCUCCGUCCUUUUAAACUGGGGACCCUGCUGCCCCCCAGGUAGUCAUCAGCUAUUCAUAAUUGAUUUGGGGUAACUGAGUCAGUCGGUCAUGUGGGAACCUCUCGACACUCGGGAAUGAGAAAAGAAACACGUGGAGCAACGAGAUGUACAAAAUGCACCCGCUCCCGGGACCCCGGCAGCCGUGAAGCCUGUUACCAGUGGGAUGAGCGCUGGCUAGCUCCUAAUCCCACCUGUGGACCUGCUGCCGGUUUGCCGUUUGGGCCUUCUCUGGGUCUGUUCUGACCCAGAACUAGGGACUUGGGCUGGAUGACCUCUAAGGCCCUUCCCAUGUCUGAAAUGCAAUUUUUAAAUCUGUUGUUCAGACUUCAGCUCUGAGCUCUGAAGUCGUCUAGGUUCCGUCAUAAGUGAGCUUGGAUCCAUUUGGUUUGUGCAGAACAUCAGGCUAGCGAAACUCAACCCCUUCAGAGAGUGUCACACGUGUCAAGGAGGAUCCCAGGGUUUCUGGUGGUCGUGGGGCUGGGUGGAUUUGAUUGUGGAUCUUGGAAAGAUUUGUUUUCACUAAAAUGUGAGAGACUCCUUCCUCAGCUGUUUGGAGAAGGAACUUUGUGAAAAGGCAGGCAAAAUGCCCUUGAAGGGAAGCCCCAUAUAGAAGUCUGUUUCCAGGCCAGGGCUCAGCGAGCAGUUUGGGAUGAUGUCCAACUCGGGGACCUGAUUCUUUACUGGGUCGGACCCCGCUCCAGGUUGCUGCCCUGCAGCCUGAUGUGAAGGGGUGGGGCGGGGAACUGCUCCGCAGAACCCUGAGUGCCCAGACCAGGCAGCGACGAGCCCAUGGGCAUCACCCCAGCUCAGCCCUUCUCAGCAGCAUCUCCCCAGGGCACUAACCCUGCUGUCCUGCGGAGGUCUUCUGGGUCCAUACACCCUGUUUCCUUCUCGAGUUGACCAAAACCUCGGGAUCUGUGAGACGGCGCCUCCCCACAAGUCCUUGACGACCAGAUCCACCUGGGGUGCAUCCCAGGCAGCCAGACCUGAGUUCUCGGGUUGCCCUUGCCCUGAGUGGCUGGAUGCCUGGGCUGGGAGGGCAGCUGCCCACGCACCGACUGGACGGGCUCAGAGACGACCAUCCUGCCAUCCAUCUUGCCCCGCGCUCACCCCUUCUCCCCCCAAGUCAAUACGUCUCUCUCCGAUGGGAAAGUUAAUAAAUUUUGCUCUAGAUUAAAAGUAUUGAUCAUUUCAUUUGUAAACGAUAAAUAAAAAGGGGAACUUUUCAUUGCACCAGGGGUAGCGUCUGGUCUGUGUUGCGAGUGGAAUUGCGCCGGCCGGCCGGGGGGAGGGCUCCUUGUAUGCAUCCCGGCCGGCCAGCGCAUCGAUUUCCUAUUAGUCUCCCAGCACCACCCAGUACCACAUCAUUCCAGUACCUGC
ensembl:lncRNA